AUUGGAGUAUCUAAAAGUUCGUUUCCUCACAUCUGGUAAAUUGAGGUUGUCUUGGCUGUGUGCCUAGCUGGGCUGAACACGUGGCUCUGAUUCCUGACAACAGGUGUUCUGUAUUCUAAAACCAAGUGUACCACAUAAUAUUAAUAGACUCUGCUUCCCACAUCUGCACAACUAAAGACUACCGUGCCGUGUAUGAUACCAAGAAGACAACUUUUACCC